GUUGAACACCAGCAGUCACGGAACACCGAGGCAUGAUCCACGCAGCAUGACAGGAGGAAAAAGGGUCUCUCUGCUGGGCUCCUGCUCAAGGGCACACGACACCUGCUCCCCAUCAUCAGAUCCUGUCUACUGCAUCACUCCAACGGGCACCUGUCAUCACUCCAUCUUAAACACGCCAUUCCGCACCCCAUGCCUCUGUCUCGCUGCUCUCCUUUACAGCAAACUCAGGGACAGAAUGCAAAUACUCAUCCUCGGAACUCCUGCCUGUCUUUUGUCCCCACCCAUAUCUCAUCUUGAAUUUGCACAUGCUGUGGGAGGGACCCGGUGGGAGGUAAUUGAAUCAUGGGGCAGGUCUUUCCCAUGCUGUUCUCGUGAUAGUGAGUAAGUCUCACGAGAUCUGACAGUAUCAUAUUAGGGGGAGUUUCCCUGCCCAAUCUCGCUCUUUGCCUGCCGCCAUCCACGUAAGAUGUGACUUGCUCCUCCUUGCCUUCCACCAUGAUUGUGAGGCCUCCCCAGCCAUGUGGAACUGUAAGUCACUAAACCUCUGUCUUUUGUAAAUUGCCCAGUGUCGGGUGUGUCUUUAUUAGCACCGUGAAAACGGACUAAUACACCACCAUUCCACAAAACCUGCACUCGCCAAAUCUGAGUUAGCUCCCAGGCCAUAAGCUGGGGACCCCUCUCCUGGCUUCUCACCUUUCAGGCUGACUACUCCCAAGUGCUGCCCCUAGGCCCAAGCACCAUGCCUCGACUUCCCCUCCACCUGAGCAAUGGCUCCUUGGCGCCUCCUCCUGUCUCACAGCUCUAAAGGCUCUCUCUGUGGUGACAAUUCCCAGUCUCCAACCUGGGCCACGCCGGUGACUUGCUCAUCCAAUCGCCCACCAGCGUUUCCAUGAGGAGGCCCAACAGGCAUCUGAGACUCAACACAGCCAAAGCCACAGCCCAAACUCCGCCGGUAUUAUAUUAGGGGGAGUUUGUGGGAGAUACCUGGUGGGAGGUAAAAUCCCUGUACCACCCUGCCUCGACCUUUCCCAUCUUGGUUAAGGAUAACUUUCUCCUUAAAAUUGCUUACGCCCAAAACACUGUAACUUAAAUAAAACGGACAAAUUCCUCUAAAGACACAAACAGAUGAUCUGAAUAGACCUACAACAAAUAGAGAUUGAAUUAAUAAUCAAAAUAAGUAAUCAAAAAAGCCCAGACCCAAAUGGCUUCAAUAAUGAAUUCUAUGAAACACUUAAACAAUUAAAGCUGGGUCCAGUGGCUUGUGCCUGUGAUCCCAGCUACUCAGGAGGCUUGAGGUGGGAGGAUCAGUUGAAGCCAGGAAUUGGUGACCAGCCUGGAUGAUACAGUGAACAGCCAUCUUAAAAAAAAAAAAAAAAAAAAAAAGAGGAACACUUCCAACUCAUUUUAUGAGGCCCAGUAGGACACUGAUACCGAUACCAAAACCAGACACAGACACCACAAGAAAACUUCAGACCAGUAUCUAUGAUGAAUAUGGAUAAAAAAAAUCACUCAACAAAAUUGUAUUAAACUGAAUCCAGGAAGACAGAUACUCCAUGACCAACUGGAAUUUAUCUGAACGCAGGGGAUAAGUGUCUUUUCAAUAUCUGAAAGUCAAUUAAUGUAACACACCACAUUACUAGAACAAGGAAAAAAACCCAUGAUCAUCAUCUCAAUGGAUGUGGAAAAAUCAUUUAACCAAAUCUGACACGUUUUCAUGAUAAACACACUCAACAAACUAGAAAUAGAAGAUACUUCCUCGGCUGGGCGUGGUAGCUCAC
rnacentral:lncRNA from 1 species